CUUGCCUAGAACGUAAUCUGCAACACCCACCACGGAGCUGGUCCCAAGGCAAAGAGGCAGUGGCUCACCACGUGCCAUCCUUUCUCUUAAGAUCCCAUUUCCUUCUGCGUGGCCCCAGUUGCAGGGCCAGCAGGAUGGGUUCCCCCACUGCGCCACGCUGGUUGGACGUAAUCGCUGUAAUGCCACUGAGCAACACGUGGCAAACAGCUUUAUCACCAAGGGCAGCCAGCAAGCCGGGAUGGAUGAAUGGGAAGCAGCUUCCAGCAGGAAUGCUCCUCCGUAUUUUAAGUUAGUCUUUAUUGGAGAGUUGGGAAAGAAGAGAUUGUUGGUUUUUUUUUUCUGUGUGAUUCAUUGUAGCUGGUGCUAUCUCUCGCGGCAGAGUGGCACCAGAUAGCUGGUGUAAAAGGUUGUCCUCAGGGAUAUCCUAUUAAUUUCUUAAUCAUUGAAAAGGCCAAAGAUAGCUUCAGAGUCCAGCAUCUCUAGGCAGCUGAUCUGAAGCAAAACUGGAGAGGACAACCCCAUAUCCUGAGAGCCCUCACCCAGCCCCAUUUGACCACAUCACAGCUGAGUUUGUGGUCGGCAAGAAACCCCAUCUUGUGUCCCUGCAGAGCUCAGGCAUGCCUUCAGACAAGUGCUCUACUCGUGCUCUAUCUAUCCUACAUGCUCUUUUUCUGAGCACCUCCUGGACCUUGCUACGUUUAUCCUCUUAGCACCUCUGUAAUUAUCUCUCUUGUAACAGAUGAGAAACAGAAGAACAUGGAGAUUUUGCAAUUUGAGCUGAAGCAGGCAGGAGCUCUGGCAGAAGAAGAGGCCUCCCGAGGGGCUUGGAGGUAAACAGCGGAGCCACCAAGGACAGUGUGCAGGAAUCAGAGUGAUGUUCUCUUUCAUGGGAAGAGGAAGCCAUACAACAACUACACCAGGGCAGAGCCCUCCAUGGGAGACAACAGCCUGUAAACUGCUGGGACUACCAGAGAACACCACAAACACCAGGAACCACCGGAAGGAGCCCACCAGCUGCAGAAAGGCAGCAAGAGGAUCAAAAGAGCAACGUCCCAGGCCGAGUCUGUGCCCUCCCUGCAUAUGCAUGAAGCCCACAUCGCCUUUCAGGACUUUGUGCAGAAGUCCAAGAAGCACAAAGCUGCAAAGAAGUGCUGCCGCCUACAUGCUGCCCCAGUUUCCCCAGGCGAAGGGUGAUGAUCUGGUGAAGCCACUGAAUCCCUGCCAGCAGGGAUUUGGAUCCAGAAGCAGGCAAGAGCAUCAGAGCAGCUGUGCUGCUCUGGAUCAAAGCCCACCAUCCGAUGGCCCGUCACUGGCAGCUGGUGGAAGCGAGUGCCCAGGGAGGAGAGCAAAAAGCGGGAUCUUUCCUCAGAGCCAAAAGGCUGUAACCAGAUAA
rnacentral:lncRNA from 1 species